rnacentral:ncRNA from 1 species
CGAGUAGAAGACUUCAGCAAGCACUCAUUGACCUAGGUGGAAGACAUUGCCAAGUGAGGAGUUUCGCUGGGCGGCACAUCUGUUAAAAGAUAACGGAGGUGUCCUAAGAUGAGCUCAACGAGAAGAGGAAUCUUUGUGUAGAACAAAAGGUUAAAAGCUCAUUUGAUUUUGAUUUUCAGUACAAAUACAAACUGUGAAAGCAUGGCCUAGCGAUCCUUUAAUCUCUCGGAAUUUGAAACUAGAGGCGUUAGAAAAGUUACCUCAGGGAUAAAUAGCGUGUGGCAGCCAAGCAUUCAUAGCCACAUUGCUUUUUGAUCCUUCGAUGUCGGCUCUUCCUAUCAUUGUGAAGCAGAUUCACCAAGUGUUGGAUUGUUCACCCACCAAUAGGAAACGUGAGCUGGGCUAAGAUCGUCGUGAAACAGAUU